GAGAGGUAUGGGCAUUGCGGUUACCCAACUUUGCACACAAAGUGGAAAAAAAAAAAAUCAUGCUUGCAGUCAUGCUGAUCUUCAUAUUUUUUGCGUGCUGUGUUCCAAUCCCGAUGGCCGAAUGGUCUAAAACUUUACCCCUGGUACCUACGACCCGUGUUCGAUCCCCAUGUGAAAUAGAAGAUAUUUAAAUGAAAACCAGAUGAGGGACUCGAACCCGAGAUGGCAGAUCCACAUGCUCACGGGUUAACCACUAGACCAUCAACAGUACGUAAGAUUACUACUUGAGGAUGCCUUUAUAGCCAAAUCUGCACAGUCUGGACGUUUUUCCAUUUAUACACCGAAGAAACCCGGAAAAUUCACCACCAGAUGGACCAACGGUCUAAAACUUUGCCUCGCACCCCAGCAACUCGGGUUCCAUUCCCGUAAUUUAUACACAGCGUGAAGAAGAAUCAUAACAUAUCAGAGGAUAUUCGAACCAGUGUUGCCGGGAGGGAAGCCGGAGAAUUUUUCCGCUAGACCACGAACAACUUGUCAAAAUCGCCCAUCUACCCGUAUUUCUAGCAAUGCAGACCACCGAUUGGUCAAACGACUAGUACUACCAAAAACUCUCCGAAAAUUCGCAGCGUGACGGACCAAUACUUUAAAUCCUCGCCUUCGGCCUCAGCGAACCGGGUUCGAGUCUUCCACUUGAUACACCACGGAAAGAAGAACCGUAAGUACAUCAGAAGGGUGGAUUCAAACUAAGGUCAUCAAAGGGGAAGCCCGACGCGCUAACCGCUGAUCCAGCAGCAGUAUUGCAAGACACUUCUACUACAUGAAUUUAUCAAAAUACGGCACAUCGUGGCACAUGUUCAGUAGAUAUGACUAUGAAAAAUCGCGAGACAUCAAGACAUGAUGGCCGAAUGGUCUGAGUGCUUGCCUUCAGUUCCGGCAAACCCUGUUCGAUUCCCACACAUUGAGCGGGAGUAUCGAGAAGAACAAGAAUUCGAGGCUAAAGGGAGACUCGAAUCAGAGUCACCGUGUGGAAAGUCUAAGUUUUCAUCCACUGAACCAGCUUCAGCUCAUCUACGAGCAUAUCUUUGUCAAACUUAACAUUAAAACGACACGCGUCUUCUGACCCAAUAAAUACGACGAAAACAUUUUGUGAAAACUCCGAUUCGAUGGUUUAAUGAUUUAAAACUUUGCCUCCGGUUGCCGUGAUCGUGAGUUCGAACCCAACUGUGACCCGUUCCACACGUGAACGAGUAUAAGUGGAGCACAGAGAAGGACUCGAACUGGAGUCGGCAAAUUUAAAGGCCAAGUUCUAAACCUUUAGACCAGCUUAGUUCGGACUCGACAGCGUGUCUGCGUCUAUUUCUGGGUUCGUCAACACAUGAACCCUUUCGGAAAUAUCGCGCUGUGAUGUAAAAUGACAAAUUCAAGUCUGGGUCUGUUGGUUGAGGACAAGAACUCACAUGUGGGAAACCUGAGUUCAAGUCCAGCAUUUUCCAUUGACUUAGUUAUUCUCACCUUUCCAUUUUCAUCCCGCUUGUUUCCGAGCGCUUAUAUAUUUUCCCCUAUUUUUUUUAUGUGAUGACGUCAUCACCCCAAAGCUAUUUAAGUGGGCCAAAGCGGCUACUCGUUCUCUUUUGCCAGCUUCUCCCGUCAUCGGCGUUUCCACGCAAGAUGCUAAAACCUUGCACCAGGUAAGGACGCAUUUGGACAAAAGCGCCGUUUUGCAGGUGGUGCACGACUUCAAAUUGAGCCUGAAAUGGAUGAUUUAAAAAAAAAAAAAAAAUUUCCUCCCCUCUUCGUCUUCACAUUGAAAGUUAAUCAAUUUAACUUCAUCUAAUUGUCUCAUUUGUGUCCGCAGGCUUGCAUCUUGAACCGAGCGCCCAUCCUCGCCGGUGGCACUGAAGAAUUCCUGGAGAACUGCUGAAGUCGAUCUUGAUCAAUGUUGGGACCUUUUGCAGAAUGGAUAAGAGGUCUCGUGGAGAUAUCUCUGCACUGAUCUUGCUUCAGGGUUCUGACUUUUUGCAAAGUCAGACUGGAUGAGUUAAAGUUAUUGCUGUAGGUGGUGGAAACAUGGAGUCGCUAUCAACUUGAGAUCUGCUUCCAGUCCAAGUGCCAGCAGCGACUCUGCCACACCAAGAUUCUGCACCUGCUGGGCAAAGAAGUGGUCUAAAUAUACAGAAGGUCUCCUGGUGAAGUCUCUGCACCAAUCCACUCUGAAGUCCCGGGAGAACUUGAUCUCUUUUGUCAAGGUCAGCUUCCGGUCCAAGUGCCUGCGGAGAAUCUGCCGCACCUGCUGGGCAAAAACAAGAAUGAACAUGCAUCCUCAACAGUUUCAUAUGAAGACUGAUCCUGGCGCAGUAGUGGUGUUCCAUUCUACCAGAGAUGACUUUCCAGGAGUGGCACAAGACAACGUGACCACGUACCAACUGGUGGCACAAAUGUGGAGUCAUGGUGAACUUCCUGUCCAACAUGUUGAGAUCGCCUUCCACUUAGUGCCAUUGCGGCUGCCACAAAGAUCCUGCACCUACUGGGCAAAGACGAGUUCUAGGAAUAUGCAGAAGGUCUCCCGGCGAAGUCUUUGUGUCACCAGUCCACUGUGAAGGUCUGUUUGAUACAAAGACGGUUCUUGUUGCGGUAGUGGUGUUCAAGCAGAAGGCUCCAGUCUCUCUCCAUCCACCAGGUGGUGCUGGAAAACCUGAUCCCGGUCAGCCGCUGAAGUCACUUUGCUUCAGAGUUGGGACCGUUGCAAAGAGGUCGCUGUCAACUGGAGAUCGGCCUGAAGUCCAAGUGGCAUCGGUGAAUCCGGAACCAAGAUCCCGCACCUACUGGGGAGGGGGGAAAAAAAAACCUACAUGAGUGCAGAAGUCUCACGGAGAAAUCACUGCACCAAUCCACUCUGAAGUCCCAGGGGAGCAUGAUCAUCGGAGGUGGAAUGUGCAAACAUGAGCAACUUCUUGUCCAACCUGAGGUUAGCUUCCAGUCAAAGUGCCAGCAGAGACUCUGCUGCACCAAGAUCCUGCAUCUGCUGUCCAAAGUUCUACAGGAGUGUGCAGAAGUUCCUCUUUGCCACAUGUUAAUAAAAUUACUCAACAGCAGCUUGACUGAACGCUCGUUCAUCUUGUGUUUUGUCUCUGCACCACCACCAGUCCGCUCUGAAGGACUGUCGGUUGAUACGAAGACUGUUCAUGUCCCGGUAAUGUUCAAGCAGAAGGCUCCAGUUUCACAUUGUGGCACUGGAGAACCUGAUCCUAAUCCCGAAGUCUGUUUGCGUCAGGGUUUGAACCUUUUGCAAAUACAGACUGGCUGAAUCAAAGUACUUAUCGGUGGCGGAAACACGGCGUCACGAUCAACUGGAGAUCAGCCUCCAGUCCAAGUGGCGGAGGACUCUGCCACCAAGAUCCUGCACCUGCUGGGCAAAGAGUUCUAAAUGCGGUCUCCUGGAGAAAUCUCGUGCCACCAGUCCACAGAGGGGUCCUCCAGAAGCAGUUUGAUCUGAAGAGGGUUCCUCUUGGUGCCCUCCAACUGCUUCUGCUGCUCGUCUGUCCAGUGAGUGUGCAGAUGGCGCCAUCAGUCUUGCAAGGUAAAACGCUGCAGUCACAGUUGAGUGCAGAAGUGCACACAAGUUCUUUUCCUGUCAUCCACAAGGUGCAGCUGCCUGAGACCUUUGACCCAUGGAUGGUAGACGCUUCGAAACGUCUUCAUCCCACAAUGAGGUAUUCAUGUUAUUUGAGUUUGUUUUUCCCUCCUUCUUCCAGAGUUGCUGAGGAACCUGGUAAGCUUCCCGGUCACGCAGCCAUGAGUCCCCAAUCUUCCUUGGUGGUAGGUUUCACGUUAAGGAUCAUUU